UGCCAGCAGCCGCGGUAAUACGGAGGGUGCAAGCGUUAUCCGGAUUCACUGGGUUUAAAGGGUGCGUAGGUGGGUUGGUAAGUCAGUGGUGAAAUCCCCGAGCUUAACUUGGGAACUGCCAUUGAUACUAUCAGUCUUGAAUACCGUGGAGGUCAGCGGAAUAUGUCAUGUAGCGGUGAAAUGCUUAGAUAUGACAUAGAACACCAAUUGCGAAGGCAGCUGGCUACGCGAAUAUUGACACUGAGGCACGAAAGCGUGGGGAUCAAACAGGAUUAGAUACCCUGGUAGUCCACGCCCUAAACUAUGGAUACUCGACAUACGCGAUACACUGUGUGUGUCUGAGCGAAAGCAUUAAGUAUCCCACCUGGGAAGUACGACCGCAAGGUUGAAACUCAAAGGAAUUGACGGGGGCCCGCACAAGC
rnacentral:rRNA from 1 species